CUUUACUGUAGCUUUGCAUUGGACUUUGACGGGACUUGUGUAGGAUAGGUGGGAGGCUGUGAGACCGGGUCGCUAGAUUCGGUGGAGCCGACGUUGAAAUACCACCCUGGUGUCGUUGAGGUUCUAACCUGGCCCCCUGAAUCGGGGGUGGGGACCGUGCAUGGCAGGCAGUUUGACUGGGGCGGUCUCCUCCUAAAGGGUAACGGAGGAGUACGAAGGUCUUCUAGGUACGGUCGGACAUCGUACUGAUAGUGCAAUGGCAAAAGAAGGCUUGACUGCGAGACCUACAAGUCGAGCAGGUGCGAAAGCAGGUCAUAGUGAUCCGGUGGUUCUGUAUGGAAGGGCCAUCGCUCAACGGAUAAAAGGUA
rnacentral:rRNA from 1 species